GAUGAACGCUAGCGGCAGGCUUAACACAUGCAAGUCGAGGGGCAGCGCGAUGUAGCAAUACAUUGGCGGCGACCGGCGCACGGGUGCGUAACACGUAUGGAACUUACCCUUUACUGGGAGAUAGCCCGGAGAAAUCCGGAUUAAUAUCCCAUAAUAACGAAGUGGCAUCACUUUGUUUGAAAGCUCCGGCGGUAAAGGAUGGCCAUGCGCACGAUUAGCUAGUAGGUGAGGUAACGGCUCACCUAGGCUACGAUCGUUAGGGGGCCUGAGAGGGUUAUCCCCCCANACUGGUACUGAGACACGGACCAGACUCCUACGGGAGGCAGCAGUGAGGAAUAUGCGCAAUGGAGGCAACUCUGACGCAGCCAUGCCGCGUGCAGGAAGAAGGCGCUACGCG
rnacentral:rRNA from 1 species